rnacentral:tRNA from 1 species
GCAGGUAUAGCUCCACGAUAGAGCCUGUGCUUGGUAUGCACAAGGUUCUGGGUUCAAUCCCCAGUGCCUAUG